UAAUAAUAAAGAAAUUAAGGGAUCCCCUCGUAUUUUCCUCUAGAGGUUUUUUGAAAAAAAACCAAGUCAGUAGCACCAAAGCCAGUAGCUAUGGCGGAAUCAAUUUGCAGAGCACUAAGAGACGGAGCUCCAGAAGGCGAGCUGGCGCCUGCGUUCACCAUCAAGGACUCCGUCACUUCUCCCUUUGCCUUACAAGUGUUUUCUCACGUGCUUUCUCAGCACUUCUCCUCCAUUUUGGCAGGAAAAUCGUAGUCACGAGGCCUUGUCGUCGUUUCAUUUUCCCGGAAUCCAUCGUUUUAUUUGGAUUUGCUGAAAAACAAAGGAACUGACGUCGCUUCAUCGGAUAAACAGUGAAUUUCUUUUUGGCUCUAAUAAUUUUAGAUUGUUACAGUGAUCCACUUGGUUGGAAGGAUCAGUUAGCAGGGAGUGGAAACUCCACAGCUCUUUCCAAUGAAGCUUUGGUUUCGAGUACUGCUAAUGUUUUUAGGGAAGUUAAACAUAUGGAUAAGUUGUACAAUUCAAUUAUUGAACUUGGCAAAGGACUGGUAGGAGGUGGAAAAAUCCGGUUUUCUAUUGCCAUAGACUCGAAAAAAAAGUGAAGUAUCGACAAAAUCCAAAGAGGACUGGAAUAAGCGCUUUAGUCACUGUGGGAGUCCGAGAUAUUCAGGGUGAGGGAUUUCCGAUCAGUUUUCUGGGUUGGCUGACUCCGUAUUUCUGGACCUACCGCAACCUUGGCUAACCAUUCCUUCAGCUUGAAACAUGUUGAAACAAGAUGGAACUCUGUGUUCCUUCUCACCUUGCAUCGAACAAGUGCAACGUUCAUGUGAAACUCUUAGAUCUGACUUUACAGAUAUAUGGACCUUUGAAAUGCUGCUCCACAUGUAUGAAAUCCGUGAAUGGAAAAUGGAUCACUUGAAGGUCAAUGAUGGGAAUUCCACUGCAUGCCCUCCACGCAAGAGGAGGCAGCCUUCAAGUGAAGCAAGUGUGGGGGACAAUGCAAGUUCUCCGACAGUCAUGGCUUGGCCAUCUGCCGAAACUUGAGGGCAUACCGGAUAUUUGACAUUCGCAAGGAAGUGUUUCUUGAAAAAAAAAACUCUUUAACAAGUUGCAAUCAAUUCAAACACUGAGUUUUCAUCCUGCUAUUAUGAUUGAUUCUUUGCUCACUCAGUGACACAUUCCUGAGUAUUCACUUUACAAGUUUUCAUCCUAUUUUUGGCCUGGUUUUAAAUCACUGUUGUGAGUUUAACAUUGUCCAAGUUCAGGUCAGACCAGGCCUACAGGUAUCAUAGUGUCUUUUGAUAAUUAAAUGAUACAUUAAACAGCUUCCAACGUCUCUCUAAAUUCUUGAUGAGAGACCCUUCUUUCUCCUGUAAAUUGUGUCUACUCUGUCUCCCUUUAUUCUGAUUUUUACCUUCUUUUUCUUUUGUUUUUAUUUAUUUUCUCUUCCUCCCUUUCUUUACUACAGCAGGACAUUGAAAUCCCCUUCUUCAUCGGAUUGCAAUUUCAGAUUAAAAGAAUCAGGCCACGUUUGGUUGGUUCCCUCUUUAUUCUUGGAAGAAUAUCAAUGCUUUUGUUUGGUUGGUUCCCUCAAAUGCGUAAUAGGGAUUCAGUGCUGAAUGCUUUGAAUGGCCAUUCCGAUCAUGGCCGAAUAGAAAUAAAGAAAAUUCUUCCCAAAAUCUCCUUCACACUUUCUCUGCAAAUGCGUUCAAAGUUGCUUCUUUUAUCACAGCGUUACACUUUCAGGUUUGGAGAUAUGGUGCAACAGAUGAAAAUUUAUUAAGAAAUAUACGUUAUAGUGCUUUGGAGCAGACAAGUUGAUGUCCAGACACUAGAGGGUCAAAUGGAAACAGAUAUAGACUACUCCUUCAGUUUAACACGGAGGGGUAUCUUCUAAGGCUUCCUCUUCCAGAAUGUUGGGUGGUAUAUUGAGGCCAGUAAAGCUCGCAUUUACCACUCUGGAGAUGAUUCAGUUGGUUUGGUAGCUCAGACAGUUCUACUCUAUGUUUUCGAGAAUAUACUGAAAUUAUUACAUCCAUUCAUGCCAUUCGUAACUGAGGAACUGUGGCAG